CUGAGCUGGAAGUAGGUUUUGACUCUCUGGAUAAAUUUCCAUCAAGCUGAAGGAGGGGUUUUGCUCUAAGAGAUUUUCUCUGGGUAGUCAAGAUUUCGUGGAGAAAUCUUUGACUUCUAGGUAGAGAAUUUAUUUGGAGGAAACCAUUUUCCCUGAGUCCAAAGAUUAUCUGCCAGUGGUCCAUCUGCCAGAAUUCCUCUUGGGCUAAGUGGCAUCAGACACCAUUUACAAUGGCCUUGCUGGCAGAUCUCCAGAAGAAAAACACCAUCCUUUUUUUUGUUUUUUUUUACAAAGCUGGAAACUUAUAGCAUUCUCUCAGCUUUUAGUGCUCUGAGUAAUAUUCACAAAAACACUUCCUGGUGUGAAAUACUGCACCCACAGGAUCAUUUUUGGUUUUUUGGGAACCUAACUUUGUCUAUGAGUGCUACAAUACUCAAAAAAGCUUAAAAAAACCCUCAAACUACUACUGUUUUAACAAUUUAGUCCCCAAAUCAUCACAUAUCUCUUAAAGUUUGCAAAAUGAUAUUUCAUUCCAAGUUAUUUCAGAGCUGUACAAAGGGAUAAAAGAUCCAACAUUUCAAAAGGAUGUUGACAUCAGGGUGUCUGUUGGAGUCAAACUGAUAUUUAGUUCAACAAAUACCACUGUGUACUGUAGCAAAAAAAUAUAAGCAAAGGAUAAAGCACAUUCUGUGGUUGCCAUAGGUGAUUAAGUGCCUACUCACAAUAGGGGGGAAAAAGACACAAGUUUCUAUCCUCAAUAAGCUUAUAUUCUACUGAUAAUAAUAAAUGACACAUAAUUUGUUCCUCUUGACAACACUAAGAGGCAUGAGAACCAUAAUUAUUAUCCUCAGUUUACAGAUAAAGAAACUGAAGCCAAAAGGGAUUAAAAGUCUUAUUCAAAAGUUAUACACCUACUAAGUAUUUGAAGUGAGAUUCAAAGCCAGAUCUUAGUUAAGUCUGAGGCUCUGAAACAAAAUGAUUCAGGAAAAUCGUUUUAAGAGCACUGAAAAAAAUUAAAACAAUUAAAUCAAUGAAGAAUCAGAAAGUACACCAGAUUCAGCCCUAGUUGAGAAACAGAAGAAAGUGAGUCACUUUUUUAGCCUUGACAGCAUAGGGAAACAGACAGAAGGCUUCAGGUACUGAGGACUGUAUUAGUGGCCUGUUCCUAGAGGUGUUGGACAGAGGUAAGGACCAAGGCAAGGAAUGACUCUAGAGCUGAAACUGUAUACACUAGCCAGGAUCAGGAAAAAAGGUGAAUAAUAGCUACUUGGUUCUAACAAAAGGAGGAGGAAAAGCCUGUAGCUGAAUAACUAAUGCCCAGAGCCCAAAACAAGAGAGUGCCAACAGUUCUGUGGGUCUGGACCUGCAAAGCCUGUGAGCCAGCUAGCUAGUAAUAGGCAAAGAGAUUUGUCCAGCAUCACACAACUGGAAGUAUGAGAGACCAGAUUUGAACUCACGUAUUCUUCACUCUAUGCCCAGUG